rnacentral:rRNA from 1 species
AUGGACGAAAGUCUGACCGAGCAACGCCGCGUGAGUGAAGAAGGUUUUCGGAUCGUAAAGCUCUGUUGUAAGUCAAGAACGUGUGUGAGAGUGGAAAGUUCACACAGUGACGGUAGCUUACCAGAAAGGGACGGCUAACUACGUGCCAGCAGCCGCGGUAAUACGUAGGUCCCGAGCGUUGUCCGGAUUUAUUGGGCGUAAAGGGAGCGCAGGCGGUCAGGAAAGUCUGGAGUAAAAGGCUAUGGCUCAACCAUAGUGUGCUCUGGAAACUGUCUGACUUGAGUGCAGAAGGGGAGAGUGGAAUUCCAUGUGUAGCGGUGAAAUGCGUAGAUAUAUGGAGGAACACCAGUGGCGAAAGCGGCUCUCUGGUCUGUCACUGACGCUGAGGCUCGAAAGCGUGGGUAGCGAACAGGAUUAGAUACCCUGGUAGUCCACGCCGUAAACGAUGAGUGCUAGGUGUUAGGCCCUUUCCGGGGCUUAGUGCCGGAGCUAACGCAAUAAGCACUCCGCCUGGGGAGUACGACCGCAAGGUUGAAACUCAAAGGAAUUGACGGGGGCCCGCACAAGCGGUGGAGCAUGUGGUUUAAUUCGAAGCAACGCGAAGAACCUUACCAGGUCUUGACAUCCCGAUGCUAUUCUUGAGAUAGGACGUGACUUCGGUACAUCCG